AACGAACGCUGGCGGCAUGCCUAACACAUGCAAGUCGAACGAGACCUUCGGGUCUAGUGGCGCACGGGUGCGUAACGCGUGGGAACCUGCCCUUAGGUUCGGAAUAACUCCCCGAAGGGGGUGCUAAUACCGGAUAAUGUCUUCGGACCAAAGAUUUAUCGCCUUUGGAUGGGCCCGCGUUGGAUUAGCUAGUUGGUAGGGUAAAAGCCUACCAAGGCGACGAUCCAUAGCUGGUCUGAGAGGAUGAUCAGCCACACUGGGACUGAGACACGGCCCAGACUCCUACGGGAGGCAGCAGUGGGGAAUAUUGGACAAUGGGCGAAAGCCUGAUCCAGCAAUGCCGCGUGGGUGAUGAAGGCCUUAGGGUUGUAAAGCUCUUUUACCCGGGAUGAUAAUGACAGUACCGGGAGAAUAAGCUCCGGCUAACUCCGUG
rnacentral:rRNA from 1 species